rnacentral:lncRNA from 1 species
UAGACUCAAACAAGGGAAGAAAAUAUCCGUCAUCGGUUAGGAUGAACAUAUCAAGGAUAUACUUCGAGGAAACGAAUUCGUUGGGGAAACAAGGUUACCUUUGUCGGGUAUUGGGUAAAAGUGACAAACAUGAGAAGAAUAUUACCAGUUAUUGGGUAAUAGGCUCUCAGGGGACCAAAAGCAUCUAUCUAGGUAAGAUCUAGAAAGAAAAGGUCAAUCAAAGGACUCAACCCAAUGAGGAUAUAAUUCAGGGGGAGUGGUUC